rnacentral:rRNA from 1 species
CCUACGGGCGGCAGCAGUCGAGAAUCUUUCACAAUGGGGGAAACCCUGAUGCUGCGACGCCGCGUGGGGGAAUGAAGGUCUUCGGAUUGUAAACCUCUGUCAUGUGGGAGCAAAUCAAAAAGAUAGUACCACAAGAGGAAGAGACGGCUAACUCUGGGCCAGCAGCCGCGGUAAUACAGAGGGCUCAAGCGUUGUUCGGAAUCACUGGGCGUAAAGCGUGCGUAGGCUGUUUCGUAAGUCGUGUGUGAAAGGCGCGGGCUCAACCCGCGGACGGCACAUGAUACUGCGAGACUAGAGUGAUGGAGAGGGAAGCGGAAUUCUCGGUGUAGCAGUGAAAUGCGUAGAUAUCGAGAGGAACACUCGUGGCGAAGGCGGGUUCCUGGACAUUAACUGACGCUGAGGCACGAAGGCCAGGGGAGCGAAAGGGAUUAGAUACCCCAGUAGUC